UACGUAGGGGGCAAGCGUUGUCCGGAAUCAUUGGGCGUAAAGCGCGUGUAGGCGGCCAGAAAAGUCCGCUGUGAAAACUCGAGGCUCAACUUCGAGCUGUCGGUGGAAACUUUCUGGCUAGAGUCCGGAAGAGGAGAAUGGAAUUCCUGGUGUAGCGGUGAAAUGCGCAGAUAUCAGGAGGAACACCAAUGGCGAAGGCAGCACUCUGGGACGGUACUGACGCUGAGACGCGAAAGCGUGGGGAGCAAACAGG
rnacentral:rRNA from 1 species